UACGUAGGGCGCAAGCGUUGUCCGGAAUUAUUGGGCGUAAAGAGCUCGUAGGCGGUCUGUCGCGUCUGCUGUGAAAACUCGGGGCUUAACCCCGGGCCUGCAGUGGGUACGGGCAGACUAGAGUGCGGUAGGGGAGACUGGAAUUCCUGGUGUAGCGGUGAAAUGCGCAGAUAUCAGGAGGAACACCGGUGGCGAAGGCGGUUCUCUGGGCCUUACCUGACGCUGAGGAGCGAAAGCGUGGGGAGCGAACAGG
rnacentral:rRNA from 1 species